rnacentral:rRNA from 1 species
UUCGCAAUGCCCGAAAGGGUGACGAAGCGACGCCGCGUGGGUGAGGAAGGCCUUCGGGUUGUAAAGCCCUGUCAGGAGUUAAGAAAUGUAAGUGUGUUAAUACCACAUUUAUUUGACGAAGGCUCCAAAGGAAGCCACGGCUAACUCUGUGCCAGCAGCCGCGGUAAUACAGAGGUGGCAAGCGUUGUUCGGAAUUAUUGGGCGUAAAGAGCACGUAGGUGGGUUUGUAAGUCAGAUGUGAAAGCCUUCUGUUCAACGGAAGAAUUGCAUCUGAAACUGCGAGUCUUGAGUGUAGGAGGGGAGAGUGGAACUUCUGGUGGAGCGGUGAAAUGCGUAGAUAUCAGAAGGAACGCCGGCGGCGAAAGCGACUCUCUGGCCUAUUACUGACACUCAGUGUGCGAAAGCUAGGGGAGCAAACGGGAUUAGAUACCCCGGUAGUCCUAGCCGUAAACGAUGGGCACUAA